GACGAACGCUGGCGGCGUGGUUAACACAUGCAAGUCGAACGGAAAGGCCCUGCUUUUGUGGGGUGCUCGAGUGGCGAACGGGUGAGUAACACGUGAGUAACCUGCCCUUGACUUUGGGAUAACUUCAGGAAACUGGGGCUAAUACCGGAUAGGAGCUCCUGCUGCAUGGUGGGGGUUGGAAAGUUUCGGCGGUUGGGGAUGGACUCGCGGCUUAUCAGCUUGUUGGGGGGGUAGUGGCUUACCAAGGCUUUGACGGGUAGCCGGCCUGAGAGGGUGACCGGCCACAUUGGGACUGAGAUACGGCCCAGACUCCUACGGGAGGCAGCAGUGGGGAAUAUUGCACAAUGGGCGGAAGCCUGAUGCAACAACGCCGCGUGCGGGAUGACGGCCUUCGGGUUGUAAACCGCUUUCGCCUGUGACGAAGCGUGAGUGACGGUAAUGGGUAAAGAAGCACCGGCUAACUACGUG
rnacentral:rRNA from 1 species